rnacentral:lncRNA from 10 species
GGAGAAGAGGUCCAAGACGCAGGCAGGGGUCCCUGAACAACCAGCCAAGACAGUAACUACAGCCUGUGGACAUUUCAUCCAGGCCACUUCAUUUUUCCUACAAAGUAGACAACCAGGUGCAUCAUGCCUAAAGUUCUGCCCACUGGGAAGAAUACUCUUCACUACUGUCUUUCAAGGUCAUCCCUGAGUUAAGCAGCAGAGCAUCUUCAUUUCAUCUGUGCAUAUAUUAAGCACUAGCUUUUUCCUCCUCUGCUAGCUGGCCAUACAGGACUCUGUACAGCCAUAGGUAUGAGCAACAGGUAUGAAUAAGAGACACCAGUACAAUGGUGGUGAUGACAGGAGUCUGCUCUUUGACCCUGCUCUGGCCUGAUCCCAGCUGUACAACUUCUCCCUUACAAUGUAUUGCUGGGCCCACUGAACCUUAUUUUUGGGGAAGCCUCACAGAGCCCAGCUCAUGAUAGUUAGCUCUGACUGCAUAAUCAAUUCAUGCCGAGUGGUCACAUGUUCAUUCUCUUCUAGAGCCCAGGAGCAUGUCAGCUCCUAUUUUUUUUUAAGAGGUAUAUAAUUUUUAUGCUAAAGACAUCAUGGUUUUGCUUCAGAAACUAGGGGCUCCAUAUUAUCAUCAUUCUCCUGGGGAUUGCCAUAAAUUCCAUGUGGUCUCAUUUUUAAACUACAGAUACAUCUAAAACCAGAGUCUAUAAUCCCCAUCUCAGAUGCUGCUUCCUGAAGAGCCCAACUGCAGCAGGCCUCUAAUGUCUUUCAUCUUUUAAGUUUUAAAGCAAUAGAUAUGCUGUAAUGAAACCAUUAUUCCCCUUACAUAAUAAAGCCUAGACGAAAACUUGAAAUCAUUUAUUCAAUAAAAUAUAAAAUUAAAAUAAUGCAGCCUCAUUAUACUAGUACUAACUUGCUGUUUUUUUGUUUGAUUUUUAUUUUAUUUUUUUAAAUCAGGAAGAUUACACCACUGAGGCUUCAUUGAUAUGUAGUACAUUAAGAGUGAGAGUAGAUAGGUUAUUGUGACAAAUGACAAUGGUAAAUACUAACAAAUUGUUACAGUUUACUCAGUUGAGGGCCACACAGUCAGUUUUAAGAUAUUUUGUCACAUUAAUUGCUGAUAAAUAACCCCAAAUAUGCUAUCAUGUAGAUUUGGGAUUGAAUUUACCUUUUCAUUUUUAAACAAAAUAAUCUCAAAGCUAGAAUCUGUUUAUCUGGAUAAUCUACAACAAAAUCUAGAAGCUAGAUCCAUAACUUUGACAUAUUUAAUGUGUUUUCUAGAUGAAAAGCUAUUGGUCUUUAAUUAUCUCUCAAGCCAACUUAUUUAAUAUAACACUAUUUUGCCAAAAAGUUCAUGUGACACAACAGAAAAAAAAACCCAUUGAAAGCUUAAUCAUAUUUUCUUUAGAACAUAUUAUAACAUAUUAUAAUUCUAAGGUACAGUUUUAAAGGAAAUUUCUAAAAGAAAGAAUGUU